rnacentral:rRNA from 1 species
GACGAACGCUGGCGGCGUGCCUAAUACAUGCCAGUAGAACGCACAGAUUAUACCGUAGCUUGCUACACCAUAGACUGUGAGUUGCGAACGGGUGAGUAACGAGUAGGUAACCUGCCUGGUAGCGGGGGAUAACUAUUGGAAACGAUAGCUAAUACCGCAUAAUAUUGAUUAUUGCAUGAUAAUUGAUUGAAAGAUGCUAUUGCAUCACUACCAGAUGGACCUGCGUUGUAUUAGCUAGUAGGUGAGGUAACGGCUCACCUAGGCGACGAUACAUAGCCGACCUGAGAGGGUGAUCGGCCACACUGGGACUGAGACACGGCCCAGACUCCUACGGGAGGCAGCAGUAGGGAAUCUUCGGCAAUGGACGAAAGUCUGACCGAGCAACGCCGCGUGAGUGAAGAAGGUUUUCGGAUCGUAAAGCUCUGUUGUAAGAGAAGAACGGGUGUGAGAGUGGAAAGUUCACACUGUGACGGUAUCUUACCAGAAAGGGACGGCUAACUACGUG